rnacentral:ncRNA from 1 species
AUAAAAGCAAUGAUGAGAAAAAGUAAAAUGAAGUAUUUUUUCACAGAGAGCUUCGGCCAGCUGAAAAGAAGCAAAAAUACUCAUUUGAAAAAUGGCCUCUGAGCUUCGUACUGAACGUACCUUAGGUGGGUGUUAGUAGGAUACGGCAAGUGUGGUACUUGUUAUCAAAACCACAGUAUAAGAGUAAUUUUUUUACUCCGUACUUGUAAGAGGCUGAUGGCGUGAGCUGUUAGUAAAUAAAGGUGGUACCACGGGAAUAAAACCUCGUCCUUAUU